rnacentral:lncRNA from 1 species
UUUUCUUCCUUCCUUAACCACUCUUCCUCUUUCUCUAAUUACUUUCUAAGAACUUACCUUAUUUUGCUCUAAUUCAUUAGGUUUCUUUUUUUCUUUGUUUUUUUCCUUUUUUCUUUGUUUGUUAGUUAAUUGACUCAUAAAUCUAGACCUUUUAUUUAGUAAGUAAUUUAUUUCUAAAACCUCCUCCAAUUAAAUUAUACACUCUCACUUAUUUAUAUUAUUCACUUAUAAACUAA